UACGGGGGGAGUAAGCGUUGUUCGGAUUUACUGGGCGUAAAGGGCGCGUAGGCGGCCACUGCAAGUCGGUUGUGAAAUCUCCGGGCUUAACCCGGAAAGGUCAAUCGAUACUGCAGGGCUAGAGUGCGGAAGGGGCAACUGGAAUUCUCGGUGUAGCGGUGAAAUGCGUAGAUAUCGAGAGGAACACCUGCGGCGAAGGCGGGUUGCUGGGCCGACACUGACGCUGACAGCGCGAAAGCUAGGGGAGCGAACGGG
rnacentral:rRNA from 1 species